GAUAAUGAUCAUUGUUGAUUAGCGUUCGAACAACCGGCCCUUAGGAUAUUUUAAUAAUUUGACAAUACCAAUGACAGAAAUUUCAUGACCAUAUAAAUUUGCUUGUACUAUAAUUGUCGAUACAGACACUCACUUCUUAUCAAAAAAAAAUUGUAAAACUGAUAGCAAUACGUGUUUUAGAAUGUUUUUUUUAUAAGGGACAAAAAAAUCGACAUUUUUAUGUUUUGUUUAUUUUUAAUUUUAGUCACUUUAUACCAUUCUUGCUUAAUAGGUGAGUUAAAGAUAUUGUCUUUUUACCAUGCAACGACAACAUUUAACGUUGGAAGAGAUGAAUAGAGCCAUGGGCCUCCUUCAAGCUGGUAUGCGA
rnacentral:lncRNA from 1 species